rnacentral:rRNA from 1 species
GACGGAGGAGGCAAGCGUUAUCCGGAAUUAUUGGGCGUAAAGCGUCCGCAGGCGGCUUUUUAAGUCUGUUGUCAAAGCCCACAGCUCAACUGUGGAUCGGCAAUGGAAACUGGGAGGCUAGAGUGUGGUAGGGGUAGAGGGAAUUCCCGGUGUAGCGGUGAAAUGCGUAGAUAUCGGGAAGAACACCAGUGGCGAAGGCGCUCUACUGGGCCACAACUGACGCUGAGGGACGAAAGCUAGGGGAGCGAAAGGG